rnacentral:rRNA from 1 species
GACAGAGGUGCCAAGCGUUAGGCGGAAUCACUGGGCUUAAAGCGUGUGUAGGCGGAAUUGUAAGUACCUUGUGAAAUCCCACGGCUCAACCGUGGAACUGCUCGGUAUACUGCUUUUCUUGAGCCACUUAGGGGCUGUCGGAACAAACGGUGGAGCGGUGAAAUGCGCAGAUAUCAGGAGGAACACCUAUUGCGAAGGCAGCUCGCUGGGACGUAACUGACGCUGAGACGCGAAAGCGUGGGGAGCAAACAGG